rnacentral:lncRNA from 1 species
AAAAGGGUGGAGAUGCAUGGAUCCUACAACUCACAAGUGUGUGGUGUCAAGAGAUGUGGUAUUUGAUGAAAUUUCCUCAUAUUCCAGUCUGUAAGAUGCAUCUGAAAGUGGAGAAUUAAUUUCUCAAGAAAGUGAUAUGGUUGAGUUGUCUAUAUCUUUAAAUCCUCCUACUAUUGGUGGUGGUUCUCAUGUGCAGCAAGGUGAAAGGGAGAACUACUGUCCUCCAAAUGAAGAGGUGCUGGAAGAUGAAAGAGUUUUAUAAGACGAAGAAAUUGAAACAAAUCAAAGACCAAGACGAGACAUCAUCAAACCAACUAGAUAUUGAGAUGAGAAUUUCACUAGCACAUAUUCUUGUUCGGGCAGGAAUUUCCCUGGAGAAGGCCCCUGGCUCAAGCACACAGCUCCCCGAGGAGUUGGCACUUUGGUUGGUCGUCGGGCUCCUACUUGUUGAGAGGCUACAAGAGGAGGACAAAGUGAAGGAAAUAUUUGUGAAAACAAGUUCAUUUGAGUAACAUCUGCAACAUGCAAUUAACAAUUAAAGGUGGAAUCAUGCUUGUAUGCACUCAAAAACAAAACUUAACCCAUGAAAUUCAAAGCCUAGUAGUUGGGUGAACCAAGACUCAACUCAAGAACAAAGUGAGUUGAGAAAUAGUAUAACUUUGUUGAUUCCUUUUUGCAUAAGCAAAGGCUAAUCACCUAAGAGAUAGGGGCUUCAUUCCUUACUUCUUUGCUCCAUGGAUUUCUUGGAGGAGGAUGGUGGAAUGGAUUCUCCAAGUUCCGAAGAAAGGGAACCUCUAAGUCUCCACACCAAGGAGAGCAUUGAUGAGGAGAUGAGUGACCUAGGAAGAUUUAGAUGCUAGUAAAACCUUCCUAGGGUGGCUGGUCUCUUAGAGAGAAAAGGGAGCUUGUGUUCUCAUCUUUUCUCCAAAAGAAACCCUAAGGAUGAAAUGGCUAUAAAAUUGCCUUUAUCCCACCUCACAAUGGAGUGGCAAACUUGCAGUUAAGCCAAGUUCACUACCCCUCUCUAUAUGGCCGGCCAUUAAGGGUUCAUUGGGCUUUCAAGCCCUUUAUGGUUUCAAGUUGUCAUACAACUUGAGUUAAUGGGCUUGGCAUUCAAAUUUCAUUGGGCCUUGCAGCCCAAAACUAACCUGAGGUCUAUAGCGAACAUAUUCGUUUUAUUAAUUAACAUAUUAAUUAAUCAUAGCCAUAAAUAAUUAAACCAUUUAAUUAUCCUUACUCAUCUCUAUUGUUUCUUCAAUCUCUACCUUACUCGGUGUACGAUCCAUUAGGUUCCUUUUAGAAAGGCAGUGGGCAAUUGUUACUCUUAACGAUUGAUUAUGAAUUGAAACAUACUUUCAAUUCUCUCUUUAAUGUUUACUCACCUUUAGGGCUUCCACAAAUGAUGAGUGACACCUAGCAGUAUGUCAUGGCUACCCAAGCUAAUCAGAAGAGGUGGAGAACCUAUUCAGUUUAGGAUUACAAUGGAAUAUGGUCUUUCUCUACAAUACUCUUGACCACAUUGUUUGGUUUGAUAGUUUAUUCAUGUCAACUAUCCAAUGUGAUUCUCUUACUUAUAUGAUUACCUUGAAUGUGAUUUGGAACGACUUCCUAAAUCUCAUUCAUACUCUGGCCAAAGAUUCUUAAUCAUAUCAUAGAGUAUUCUCCCUCAAACGGUUAGAAGGUUAGAGAUCCUUUGUUGCGCAUUCAUUUGCCUCCAUGGCUAAGUGGCUUAACCCUAACUAUGUCAUGGAAACCCUCUGAUGGAGUGACUUUGACAUAGUCCAAGAUCAAGGACCUAACCACAAGACAACUAUGAUGCCUCAGGUCCAAGGACUACUUUGCAUUAUCCCAACCAUAAGUUCUCAUGUGACAUGAGUAUGAGAACUCCUUGUUGAUCGUGUUUAGUGGACUCAUUCUCUAUUGAGCACCUACAUGCCUGUCAUGGUGUCAGUCACACCAAUGACUCGAGACUAGUCACUCUCCCUAAGAGAAGACAUAACAUGAUACACCCUGACCCGGAAUGUCCACUAGGACUUCGAAUCGAGCUGUGCUGGCCGACACCUCAAAGGUGAGGAAGCCAUAAAGUGUAAUGCUGUUGAAAAUGUGAAUAAAUUUAAACCUAAAAGCAUAAGUAAAGUACAGUAGGGUAAGAUAAGGAUUAUACCAUCAUAAAAAGCCACAUGUACUGGGAUAUG